AGUUUGAUCAUGGCANAGAACGAACGCUGGCGGCAGGCCUAACACAUGCAAGUCGAGCGCCCCGGCAAGGGGGAGCGGCGGACGGGUGAGUAACGCGUGGGAACGUACCCUUUGCUACGGAAUAGCCUCGGGAAACUGGGAGUAAUACCGUAUGUGCCCUUCGGGGGGAAAGAUUUAUCGGCAAAGGAUCGGCCCGCGUUGGAUUAGGUAGUUGGUGGGGUAAUGGCCUACCAAGCCGACGAUCCAUAGCUGGUUUGAGAGGAUGAUCAGCCACACUAGGACUGAGACACGGCCCAGACUCCUACGGGAGGCAGCAGUGGGGAAUCUUAGACAAUGGGCGCAAGCCUGAUCUAGCCAUGCCGCGUGAUCGAUGAAGGCCUUAGGGUUGUAAAGAUCUUUCAGUGGGGAAGAUAAUGACUGUACCCACAGAAGAAGCCCCGGCUAACUCCGUG
rnacentral:rRNA from 1 species